rnacentral:rRNA from 1 species
GACGAACGCUGGCGGCAUGCCUAACACAUGCAAGUCGAACGAAACCUUCGGGUCUAGUGGCGCACGUGUGCGUAACGCGUGGUAACCUUCCCUUGGGUUCGGAAUAACUCCCCGAAAGGGGUGCUAAUACCGGAUAAGGUCUUCGGACCAAAGAUUUAUCGCCUGUGGGUGGGCGGGCGUUAGAUUAGCUAGUUGGUAGGGUAAAAGCCUACCAAGGCGACGAUCCAUAGCUGGUUUGAGAGGAUGGUCAGACACACUGGGACUGAGACACGGCACAGACUCGUACGGGAGGCAGCAGUGGGGAAUAUUGGAGAAUGGGCGAAAGCCUGAGCCAGCAAUGCCGCGUGAGUGAUGAAGGCGUGAGGGUUGUAAAGCUCUUUUACCCGGGAUGAUAAUGACAGUACCGGGAGAAUAAGCCCCGGCUAACUCCGUG